GCGGAUGCAAUAAAUAGAUAAAAAGGUAAAAGAUCGUACUUGACGAGAAGAAUGAAUGCUUCUUAUUGCUUUCAUCGUGCCAGAUAUGCGAUUAAUAGAGCAAGACCGAUAAUUGCAAUGAAUUUUACGCUCGAUUUGUUGAAACAUCUCUGUUCGAGAUUAUUAUAUCACAUUGCACACGACAUAUAAAAAAAAAAAA